UGUAGAGCACAGCCAUCUUUUGUCUGUGUCGACUGUUUCUCCAUUUUCCAGUUCUUCGUUCGACGGACCCAUCCGGACUUCUCAUGAAUCUCCCCGAAUGCUUAAUUGCAGCAGAUUCAUCGUUUGAAUCAUCUCAAUUAUAUGUGUUUUCGGUGGAAUUCUAUGCCUAUAUUUGAUUUUUUUGCAACAUUUUUGAAUUUUGGAUGCGGAAUCAACAGUUGCUUUUGUAAAGCAGAGUCACCGGUGAAUCGCCGGCCGGGGGAGGGUUAGAGAGGCGGCGGCGAUGAAAGGCGGAGCACUGAGAAUUCUGCUCUCUCUUUUCACGCUGAACUCGAUUUCACUCUACAUCUACUUAUCGUCUCACCCGGACCACCAUCACCGCCGCCGCCCGGCCGAACAGGACCGCCACGACGUGGACUACCCGCCGCCGCGUGGAACUGCAUCACUCAAACCCUGGCCGAUACUGCCGUCCUACCUGCCGUGGACGCAGAACGCCGACGUGCCCUACGGUUCCUGCGAAGCGUAUUUCGGGAACGGAUUCACCAAACGCGUGGAUCCUCUGAAGCCGAUCGACGAAACUCAACGGGAAACCGGAUGGUUCAGAUGUUUCUACAGCGAAACGCUGAGGAGUUCGAUAUGCGAAGGAGGGGGAAUUCGGAUGAUUCCAGACCGAAUUUCGAUGGCUCGAGGAGGGGAGAAGCUGGAGAGUGUAAUUGGCAGAGGGGAAGACGAGGAGCUCCCCAGUUUUGACGAUGGAGCUUUCGAAAUUCAGGUUUCUGACAGAUCGAGAAAUGGGGAAAAAUUGGUAGAUUUAGGGUUUCUGGAUCAGUAUAUACAAGAAGGCGAAAUCCACAGGCACACCAUGCGUAGUUUGGUUGAUUCAAUUCGGUUGGUUGAUGACACGAAUUUCAUCUGCUCUGAGUGGAUUGAGGAGCCAACAGUUUUAGUAACCCGAUUCGAAUAUGCAAAUUUGUUUCACACAUUCACGGAUUGGUACAGCGCAUACGUGUCCUCCAGAGUCACCGGCUUGCCUACCCGACCCCAUCUGGUCUUUGUUGACGGCCACUGCGAGACUCGCUUGGAAGAAACAUGGGCGGCAUUGUUUUCAAGCAUUACGUACGCAAAGAACUUCACCAACUCCGUCUGCUUUCGCCAUGCUAUUCUCGCGCCAUUAGGUUACGAAACUCCUCUUUUCAAGGGACUCUCAAAGCACAUCAAUUGCCGCGGGGCUUCUGCCUACCAACUGUGGCGAAAACCUGACCACCACAAGACUGCCCGCCUGUCCGAGUUCGGUGAGAUGAUCAGGGCAGCAUUUGGGCUGCCAGUCAACAGGCACAACAUCCCCAAAUCCGCCUCCACUGGCCUCGAUAUCCUCUUUGUGCGGCGCGAGGAUUAUCUGGCCCAUCCCCGACACGGGGGUAAGGUUCAGUCGAGACUCAGCAACGAACCCGAGGUUUUCGAAUCUAUAAAGAAGUGGGCAUCAAAUCAUUCAGAGUGUAAACUGAACGUCGUCAACGGGCUGUUUGCGCACAUGUCGAUGAAAGAGCAGGUUCGAGCCGUGCAGGAUGCUGCAGUGAUCGUUGGCGCGCACGGGGCAGGCCUGACACAUAUUAUUUCAGCUACGCCCGAGACAGUGAUUUUAGAAAUAAUCAGCAGCGAGUACAAGCGACCUCACUUUGAGCUAAUCGCCAUGUGGAAAGCUUUGGAGUAUCACGCGAUAAAUCUUGCAGGAUCGCACGCUGAUCCAUCUGUGGUGAUUGAUAAACUUAGCGCGAUUCUCAGAAGCCUCGGAUGUUGAGAGUUAUUCGAUUCUUGCCUCCUCCCACAGUAAUUUAUCGUGUUUUUUUUAGAUGUUCGUAUCCCGGGGAUGUCACUGAUGACGCUAUUGAUGCAGGAGGGCUCGGGAUUUUCGAGCUGAAGUUUUCGUUUGCUAUGUGGAUGCGAUAGCACGCCUUUAUCAAGGCAAAGCUAUCUUUCAAUGCCUUCGGUAAAAGGCGAAAGAAUAGUUUGCUAUGUGAUUACUGAAGGUCGCGGCGUAAAGGUAUUUUUACUCUCGGAAUCACAUAAAGUGGUUCUUGCCUUUCCAAACUGAGGCCAGCCGCUUCUGUCAUGUCCAUCUCUUCGGGUUUCAUUCCAUCGGGCAAAUCCCAAUCGAAGUGGUAGAGAAACAUCGCCAAAGCAUGCUCGACAUUAGCGAGGCCAAAUGACAUUCCGGGGCAAAUUCUUCUUCCAGGACCAAAGGGAAGGUAUUCGAAGUUGUUCAGUUUGUAGUCGACCGGAUUAUCAAUAAUCUCUCCGGGAUAUAACUCUCGGGUUCUUUCCAGUACUUGGGAUCUCUUCCAAUUGCCCAUGAAUUCACCAAGACUCGAGUUUUCGGAGGUAGUUUGUAUCCGAAGAUUUCACAUUGCUCCGUACUUUCUCUUGGAAAAAGUAUCGGUAAACCCGGAUGGAUCCUUAGAGAUUCUUUUACGACUAACUUUAGAUACUUGAGCUCGUCGAAGACUCAUCACAAAUCCCUUGUCCUUGAAAACCAGUCUCACCUCGUCUUGUGCCUUCUUAAGGACCCUCGGGUGCCUCAGCAUGUCGACCAUAAUCCAAUUCGUAGUCAUCGCGGAUGUUUCGAUUCCAGCCGUAAACACUUCCUAUAUUCCACAAUAGCAAUUAGAAAAUCAAUAAAAUUGUAAUACGGUAAAAGUGAAUAUUAGAAGCUCGGCGAUGACGACAAAUCAGUAAGAUGCCUUUUAUAUUGGCGUCCGUCAGCUGUAUUUGGUUUCCCGAAUGAUUGAACUUGAGAAGAUUGUCUGCGAAGUCCUCGUGUUGUUUACACUCAUCCUUCGUCGAUGAUCUGUGUUCGUCGAUAAGCUUUUCGAGUAUCCUGUCCGCGACUUAGUGCUGCCUCUCUAACUUGCCUUUCGUCGGACUUAAUUGCCGGAACAAUCUAACCGAAGGAUAGAAAUCCGCGAGAUUGAAUACAGAAGCGAGCUCGACGCACUUAUUGGCUAUGUUCGUGAAUUUGCUUAGUUCGUCGGUCUUUUUCCCAAGCGACGCCUGCAUUAUAAUAUCACAAGUAGUGAAGCCGAUCUUCUCAGUCAAGUUGAUCGACAAACCUUCUUUCGACGCGAUCCAUUUGCACAAAUUCGCAAACUCUUGUUCUCUUAAAGCGUGGAACGAUUGGACUCCUUUCGCGCUCAACAGCUCCACGGUGUAGAACUUGCGCAACUGUCUCCAGUAUUCGCCGUAUGGCGACAUUGCCAAAUCCGAGUGGUUGUAAAAUAUAAUUUCCGCGGCUAUGUUUUCCGGUCUGUUGAAAAAAGUGAGUUCGUGUGUCUUGAUGAUUUCUUUGGCGGCUUCCGGCGAAGAAAUUACUACGGUGCUGAUUUGGCCAAAUUGCAGGUGCAUCACCGGUCCAUAUUUUCCAGCCAAGUCGGUCAACACUUGGUGCGGCAGCUUCGAACUGGCGGCGAGCUGGUGCAAAUUUCCGAUCGACGGCAGCUUCCUCGGCCCCGGAGGAAGAUUCAAAUUCGGGUCGGGUUUGGAUUGGGUAAUUAUUCUGAACAGCAUUACCAGAAAAAGAACGAAGGAAAAGCCAGUAAUGAAAGAUGGUGAAAAGUUCAAAUCCAUUUAUUUUUAUUUUUUUUUAGGUCUUUGGAUUCUGUCAAAUGAGUUGAGUAUAAAGGGAUUGAAUAGAAUCGAAAAUAUAUAAGAGCAGUUAGCCUAAUACUUCCU